UACGUAGGGGGCAAGCGUUGUCCGGAAUUAUUGGGCGUAAAGCGCGUGUAGGCGGCUCGGUAAGUCUGCUGUGAAAGUUCAAGGCUCAACCUUGGAAAGCCGGUGGAUACUGUCGAGCUCGAGUCCUGGAGAGGGUCGUGGAAUUCCCGGUGUAGCGGUGAAAUGCGUAGAGAUCGGGAGGAACACCAGAGGCGAAAGCGGCGACCUGGACAGGAACUGACACUCAACUACGAAAGCGUGGGGAGCAAACAGG
rnacentral:rRNA from 1 species